UAACCUCUGACGAAAUUCGUGAAUGUUA
ncrna:unclassified sequences L19-Flavobacteria ribosomal protein leader